GUUUCCAUGGCUGCGGGCGGCGGGGGGAGCAGCAACGGCGCUGCCCGGGCCCCCCCUGCCUCAUCCCUCCGUCCGGCCCUGGGACGCGGAGGAGCCGGACCUUGGAUUGUGACCUGCGGGCGAAAGAAUCGGUUAAACGGCCAGGCCAAGGCGGGGAGGCCAGGAGCGUAGGCCGCGGGGCGUCCCACCUCCUCCUCCCCCGGCCGCCGCGGCCCCUUUAAGACGGAAGCCACCGCCGCUGAUUGAACGGGGGAGGGGAGGGGAAAGCGGGAAAGACCGAACCACUGGGCAGCAGCUCAGAGGGGGAACCGGAAAGAAAAGCACAAACUCUCCGCUCUCUCUGUUAGCUUGUCAUGUAGCGAUAGGAAAAAGAAGAGCCAGCAAGCUUCACGCCUUCUGAAAACCGCUUAGAGACGCGAUUUGGCCGGCGGAAAUAUUUUUCUUUGCUUGGCCCCCUCUGUGACGCUCCUCCCCGCGCCCCGCCUUGUGUUCGCCCGGGUGUAAACAGUCCAUUGAAUUAAGCCCUAGCGGAGCCCAGCGGACCGACCCAAGUCCCCGAGGGCGACGGGUAGAAGGGAUUGGCUGAAAAGUUCGGCUUCUCGGAGUGCGACUGGCCGAGGACCCGAUUUCCCUUCCCAAGCGCGGAGGCAGUGGCAGUAACUCCAGCCUCGGCGCUGGCCUUCAGUCCUCCAACGGCGCCCUUACCUGGCCCGCGCACCUCCACUUCCGGGCGGCCCGUUUCCCCCCUGGAGCCCCUGCCUGGGGAUGGUCCGCUCCGGGCCCGGGCUGCCUCCGGGACCGAGCAGCGCGGGAGGUGGCGGCCCGAGCCCGGCGUGUAGCGGAUCCUUCUGCUGCCGCGGCGCUCGCUGGGGAAGCCUGGGCUCCUAGGCUCCCGUGGCUUUCCACGUGUUCGCGCCAGCUGAGCCCUUUACAUAACCUCUUUACAUAAGCUGCACCUCCCGCCGGCGCCCGGGCCAGCGGAGACUCCUGGUGGCCCAUCCCCCGGGACGCCAGCCGAGUGAGCCCUGCACCGCCCGGUCCUGCAAAGGUCGACGGAGCAGCCGCAGCCGAGCGCACCGGCACGCCUUGCCGGGACCCAAUCACUGGCGAGAACACCCAGCCAACAAAAAAUAGGCGCGAAAUUCCCGUGAUCCGCGGCGGGCUCCGGGUCUCCGCAGCGGCCCGCGCAUCACUAUCCCUUCUCGCCUGAUCUGCGUGAAGACCAACCGUCCGCAGUAGGCGCCUAAUAAAUACUGACUGGGUGAUUGUCUUGGUCGUUUGAUUCAUAGCUCUGUCCUGGGAACCUCAGGGACUGGGUUGGAAUCCCGACCUUCCCUUCUACCAGCCCAGUGAUCUUGUGCAAAUCAUUGACCCACCCUGAGCAUCCGUUUAUCUAAUGAUCCUCUGCAAAAUGGAUAGAAUGGGCUUUAAUUCCCAGGAAUGAUAGACCCAAAUGAAAUACCUAGAUGGAGGCUAAUUGGGUGUGGGGCUGUUAGUACCCAAAGCUCCCAUUUAGGCACAGAUUUUUGAAUAUUUUGUUCUGUAUUUUGUAUUCCAGUGUAGGCCUAGUGGGUGCCCAGUGUUUGUUAACUGAAUCUACAGAUGUUUAUUGAACACCCGUAAUGUGCUAGGCACCAUUCCAAGUCGCUGGGGAAAGAGCAAUAGACAAGGCAGUUUCUGCCUUGGUUGAGGUUCUGUGCCACUGCAGGAGACAAACCACAUGGGUGGCCUUGGGCAAGUUAGUCAACCUUCUUGUGUAUUUGUUCCUUACCUGUAAGAAGAUCCACAGAGGUUAUACAGGUAAAGCACUUAGGACAGCCUUGCACACAAUGUUAAGUAUUAUUAAAUAAAUGCACAGGAUAAUUUUUGCCAGUGGUAAGUGUGAUGGAGAAAAAGAAUGAGCUAAAGAGUGCUCACUGGAUACAGGCCAUUUCUUAUAAUGUAUUUGGUCGCUGAAAACCUCUUAACUUUUUUGUGAUUAAAUUUCAAAUUUACACAUAAAUUUCAAGAAUCGUAAAGAUCAUAUACUUUUCCACUAGAAUAACAAAUUGUUAUAUUUUGCUGCAUAUCCAUAUCCUCUCGUGUAUGUGUAUAUAUACACACAAAUACAUAUUGUGUGUGGAUAUCUAUAUGGUAUAUACCCCAAAAGAAAGGAAAUCAGUAUACGGUAUAUAGAUAUUCACACACACACAUAUAUAAUGUAUAUAUUCUUUUUUACUACAUCAUUUUAGAGUUUCCAACAUCAAACUCCUUUAUCCUAAAUAUAUGUGUGUGUUUCCUUAAAAAAAAGACAUUAUCUGGCAUAAUCUCAGUACAGUGGUCAAAAAUCAGGAAUUUUAACAAUGAUACAAUUGUUUUAUUUAAUACACUCCAUCCAUAUUUAAAUUUUGCUAAUGGUCCCAAUAAUGUCCUUUAUAGCUAUUCCCCAGGAUCCAAUUCAGGAUCAGACGUUGCACUGAGUUGUCAUGCCUCUUUAGUUUCUUUUAAUCUGGAAGGGCAGUUAGUUAUCCAGCCUUUCUUUGUCUUUCAUGACCUUGACAUUUUUGAAGAAUACUGGCGAGUUAUAUUGUAGAAUGUCCCUAAAUUUUUAUUCAUCUGUGUUUUCUUAUUAGUUUCAGAGUAUCCAUUUUUCUCUCCUCCCCCACCCCCCACCAACCCAUCCCUUGCUAUUCUGAGAGGGUAUGCAUUUUUUGGCAGGACUACUGCUGAAAAAAGUUGCCUCCUCAGGGCCUUUCAUCAGGAGGCACAUGGCAUUGUGUUUGUCCCAGUAUUCGUGGUGUUAACUUCCAUCAUUUGGUUGAGGUGGUGUAGGAGUAGUUACACUCUACCAUAAAGUUACGAUUUUUCCUUCUGUAACUAUUAAGUAUUCUGUGGGAAGAUAUUUUGAGACUAUUUAAAUAUCCUCUUCUUUAGACUCUUACCCACUGGUUUCAGAAUUCAUGGUGAUUCUUGCUUGAAACAAUUAUUACAGUUGCAAAAUGGUGAUCAGAAGGUCUUUUUAACCAUAACCUUUUUUCUAUUUCUGUGAAGAAUGUCAUUGGUAUUUUGAUAGGGAUUGCAUUGACUCUUUAGAUUGCUUUGGGUAGUAUGGACAUUUUAACCAAUGUUGAUUCUUCCUAUCCAUGAACAUGAAAUAUCUUUCCAUUUUUUGUGUGUCCUCUUCAAUUUCUUUAAUCAGUGUUUUAUAGUUUUCAUUAUAGAGAUCUUUCAUUUCUUUAAAUUAAUUCCUAGGUAUUUUUAUUUAUGGCUAUUGUAAAUGGGAUUACUUUUUAAAUUUCUUUUUCAGAUUGUUCACUGUUAACAUAUAGAAAUGCUACUGAUUUUUGUAUGUUGAUUUUGUAUCCUGCAACUGUACGGAAUUUGUUUAUCAGUUCUAACAGUUUUUUGGUGGAGUCUUUAGGUUUUUCCAAAUAUAAGAUAUAAUAUGCAAACAAGGAUAAUUUAACUUUUUCCUUUCCUAUUUGGAUGCCCUUUAUUUCUUUCUCUUGCCUGAUUGCUCUAGCUAGUACUUCUAGUACUUCUAGUACUGUGUUGAAUAACAGUGGUGAAAGUGGGCAUCCUUGUUGUAUUCCAGAUCUUAAAGGCUUUCAGUUUUUCCCCAUUCAGUAUGGUACUAGCUGUGGGUUUGUCAUAUAUGGCUUUUAUUAUGUGGGGGUAUUUUCCUUCUAUUCCCAGUUUUUUUUAGGGUUUUUAUCAUGAAACCAUGUUGAAUUUUAUCAAAUGCUUUUUCAGCAUCAAUUGAAAUGAUAGUAUGGUUUUUGUCCUUCAUUCCGACAGCCUUAUUUUAUCUUAAUUACCUCUUUAAAGACCUUAUCUUCAAAUAUAGGCACAUUCUAAGGUACUGGGAAUUAUAACUUCAACAUGAAUUUGGAGUGAGGAGGGACACAAUUCAGUCCAUAAUAGCCUCUUUGGCAUUUGACAUUUGAAUUGAAACCUGAAUGUCAAGAACCCAGCUCUGAAACCGAAUGGGAAGUCAUUCCAAGAAGAAAGAAGAACAAGUACAAAAGCCAUGAGAUGGAUACAAGCUUGUGAAACCAGCCAUGUGGUAAGAUUUUAAAAUGGUACAACCACUUUGGGAAAAAAAAAAAAAACCAGUUUGGCAGUUUCUUAUAAAGUUAAAUAUAUGUCUACCCUGUGGCCCAGCAAUUCCAUGGGUCUCAGGUAAAUGAAAACUUCUGUUAAUAAAGCAACUUGUAUAGGAAUUCACAGUGGCUUUUCCCAUAAGAAUUCCAAACUGGAAAAUGCUGCAGUGUUCAGCAAUAAAUGAAUGGAUAAACAAAUUGUGGUAUUCCCAUACAAUGAAAUGUUGCUGAGGGUGUGUUGAUGGGGGGAGGAAUAAAGUAUUGAUACAACAGCAUGUAUGAAUCAAAAUAAUUAUGCUGAGUGAAAGAGGCCAGGCACAAGAGAGUACCUGCUAGAUGAUUCUAUAUACAAUUCUUAACAAUACAAACUAAUUUGUAGUGACAGAAAGCAGAUCAGUAGUUGGGGUAGGAAGGGUGGAUAGAAAACAAAAGGACAUAAAACUUUUUGGGGUGAUGGGUUAUCUAGACUGUAGUAAUAGUUUCAAGAUAGGAAUAUAUUAAAACACUUCAAAUUGUACCCUUUAUAUUAGGUGUAUUUAUGUAAAUCAGUUUUACAACUUAAUAAAGCUAUAAAAAAAUUGGAAAAGAACACAUACUAUAAUUCCAUUAAUAUAAAGUCAACCAACAAUAGUCUAGAGUGGCAGAAAUCGUAUCAGUGGUUGUUUUUCAGGUGGGAAUUGAUUGCUGAGGGCCACAGGGGAAUUUUCUGGGUGAUGGAAUUUUAUUGUGUGUAAAUUGUACCACGACAAAGUUGAAUUAAAACAUAAAAAAAAAAAAAAAAAAGCCAAAACCCUGUAGCUGCGAACACUUGUGUCUUUACUUAGAAGUUUCUAAGGACAGAAGGCUGCAUUGUGUGGCCCUGGCCCCAUUCCUGUAUCACUGGCUUCGUAGGUUUAGCACAGCCAGCAGUGUCUUUCCUCCUGGCUAGUUUUCCUAUCUGAUUUUGUUUUGUUUUGUUUUCUAAUACACAUAUACAUGUUUUUAUUUUGUUUUUAGGCAUCUUACCUAUUUAUCCAUCUAUUUGAGAGAGGGUCUUGCUCUGUUGCCCAAGCUUGGAGUGCAGUGGCAUGAUCAUGGCACACUGCAGCCUUGACCUCCUGGGCUCAAGUGAUCCUCCCACCUCAGCCUCCUGAGUAGCCGGGACUGUGGGCACAUGCCACUAGGAUUUUACCAUGUUGCCCAGGCUGGUCUCGAACUCCUGGCUCAGCCAUCCUCCCACCUUGGCCUCCCAGAGUGCUGGGAUUACAGGCAUGAGCCACUGCACCCGGCCUAUUUACUUUUUAUAAUUCCAGCUUGUUUUUUUAGAUUUUGGGGUACCUGUGCAGGUUUGUUACAUGCAUAUAUUGUGUGAUGCUAAGGUUUGGGAUACAGUUGAGCCCAUCGUCCAGGUAAUGAGCAUAGUAACCAGUAGCUUUUCCACCCUUGCCCUUCCCUCCCCACCCUAGUAAUACACAGUGUCUACUCCUGUCUUUAUGUCCAUGAGCACCCAUUGUUUACUCCCACAUAUAAGUGAGAACAUGCGGUAUUUGGUUUUUGGUUUUCUGUUCCUGAGUUAAUUUGCUUAGGAUAAUGGCCUCCAGCUGUAUCCCCCACCUGAAUUUUGAGAGAGAUUGAAUAUGAAGUUCUGGGAGGACCACAAGGAGUGUGAAUCCUUUUAUAUGCUGUUAAGAGGGCUGGACUGCUUGAUAAAUCAUUUGAUGCCUUGACCAAAUUUUUAGUUUUUGUUUUUGUCUUGCUUAACUUAUGGAAGUAACCUAUACUUUACUGUUAGGACUAAUAGCCAACAUUUACUAAAGUUUUCUGUCUGCCAGGCACAGGGAUUAACAAAGAAUUACGACAAUUCCAUGAGGUAGUGACUUUCAUUAGCCCCAUUUUACAGAUGAAGAAACCGAAUGUGAAGCUGGCACAGCUGGGUUUCAAACUGAGGCCCCAGACACUCCACAUCUCUUGAUCGCACUCAGCCCCUCCCCAGGCUAAGCAGUGUAAACGUUACAGCGAGCCCUCUUCUACAUCUUUCUUGUUGACAAACAUGCCUGCCUCAGUAUCCCUGGAACCUCAGACAGUACCAAACAUCUGACUGAGCUCAAUAUUUAGUGAUAGAAGAAAUGUAGAAGAGAAGAGCAGCAGUGAGGUUUUUUGUUUGUUUUUUUAAAUGGAGUCUCACUCUGUUGUCCAGGCUGGGGUGCAGUGGCAUGAUCUCGGCUCCCUGCAACCUCUACCUCCUGGAUUCAAAUGAUUCUCCUCCUCAGCCUCCCGAGUAGCUGGGAUUACUGACACCUGCCACCACACCUGGCUAAUUUUGUGUGUGUGUGUGUGUUUUAGUAGAGAUGGGGUUUCAUCAUAUUGGCCAGGCUGGCCUCGAACUCCUGACCUCAAGUGAUCCAUCCACCUUGACCUCCCAAAGUGCUGAGAUUUCAGGCGUGAGCCACCGUAACCGACCAAGCAGUGAGGUUUUCAGCCCUUUUAGCAGGCCAGGGAUGCGGAAGGAAGUCCUUUCUCUGCUGAGCACAGAGAGCUGCAUGGAAUGUCACAUCAUUGGUUGUGCUCUCUACACUCAAGGAGUCGCUGACACUGGCUGAAUAAAGCAAUGGCUACACUUUUACUGUAAGAAAAGUCAUUCAUUUAACAUUUUUUGAACCCUU
rnacentral:lncRNA from 1 species